UACGAAGGGUGCAAGCGUUAAUCGGAAUUACUGGGCGUAAAGCGCGCGUAGGUGGUUCAGUAAGUUGGAUGUGAAAUCCCCGGGCUCAACCUGGGAACUGCAUCCAAAACUGCUGAGCUAGAGUACGGUAGAGGGUGGUGGAAUUUCCUGUGUAGCGAUGAAAUGCGUAGAUAUAGGAAGGAACACCAGUGGCGAAGGCGACCACCUGGACUGAUACUGACACUGAGGUGCGAAAGCGUGGGGAGCAAACAGG
rnacentral:rRNA from 1 species